AUUGAACGCUGGCGGAAUGCUUUACACAUGCAAGUCGAACGGCAGCACGGACUUCGGUCUGGUGGCGAGUGGCGAACGGGUGAGUAAUGUAUCGGAACGUGCCCAGUCGUGGGGGAUAACGUAGGGAAAGUUACGCUAAUACCGCAUACGAUCUAUGGAUGAAAGCGGGGGAUCGCAAGACCUCGCGCGAUUGGAGCGGCCGAUAUCAGAUUAGGUAGUUGGUGGGGUAAAGGCCCACCAAGCCAACGAUCUGUAGCUGGUCUGAGAGGACGACCCGCGAGACUGGAACUGAGACACGGUCCAGACUCCUACGGGAGGCAGCAGUGGGUAAUUUUGGACAAUGGGCGAAAGCCUGAUCCAGCCAUUCCGCGUGCAGGAUGAAGGCCCUCGGGUUGUAAACUGCCUUUGUACAGAACGAAAAGGUUUCUACUAAUACUAGGAACUCAUGACGGUACUGUAAGAAUAAGCACCGGCUAACUACGUGCCAGCCGCCGCCGUAA
rnacentral:rRNA from 1 species